CAUGGCAACCAAACAGCUGUCAGACUUGCAUAAAUUUCAGCGUAAUCAACUAGCAAAGAUUAACAAAGAAGAUUUAAUAGACUCCAUACUAGCAUCUGACGCACAAGAUGGUGAGCUGGCUAAACUGAACAAGACACUUGACGAGGUUAUGAAUGAAGUUAAAUUACUGAGAGACAUGAUUACUUCCCCAGAGAGUACACUGAACCAGAACUACACCGAACUCGAGGCUCAGGUCGACAAGCAGGCUGAGGUAAUGGUGAAGCAGCAGCAGUUCUUAGAAGCACUUGAUUGAAAAGAGCGAGAGGCGAACAUCAUUAUCUUGGGUGUACCGGAUGAACACGACACACUGGAAGGUGCCGCGCAUGACGAGGAGAAAAUGAGCAAGAUUUGGUCCAAAAUGGGUGUAGGCAGUGUGAGUGGUACUCAUCGUCGGCUGGGUAACAACACUUCACUCGGCACCAGGCGACGUCCCAUCCUGUUCACGCUGGCUGAUGAGGGACAACGCAGUACCAUCCUGGACAACGCCAACCGCUUGAAGACAUCUGGUGACAAUUACAACAAGAUUUAUGUCAAGGAGGAUGUCCACCCUUGUGUGAGGAGGGAGUGGCGACGAUUACGGGAAGCAGAGACGACAGAGAAGGCACGACCAGAGAAUGCAGGCUGUGCGGUACGUCUGGACACGAGGGAAGGGAAGCUGUAUAGGGAUGCAGAUGUGAUUGAUAGCUGGAAUCCUCAGUUUUUUUUAACAUCACCACAGCAUACAAGAAAGAUAAGAUCAAUGUCGUGGAACACAGGUGGAGUGCGCACAAAGUUAGAAAAGGCAGAUGUACAACAGAUGUUACAUGAUUACGACAUAAUUUGUAUUAAUGAAGUUAAAACAGCUAUGCCAGUGUCUUUCCCAGGUUAUGUGACGUGUAAGAGUAAAGAAGUUGGUGCUGCAGAGCGAGGUGGAACAGUUGUAUGUAUUAACAACUGGUCAUCUACUUCAGUAUUUGAUGUUGACACAAGCACGGGAGAUCAAGUUUGGAUGCAAUUUCGCAAUGUUGAGGGUGAACCAUUUGCCUUUUGUUACAUUCCUCCUUGUGACUCUCCGUAUUACUCCCAUGGCUUACUUGCCUCUAUUCAAGUGAAGGUAAAUUCUAGGUACAUGCAUAAAGGAUAUUUCAUUGUUGGUGACAUGAAUGCGAGAUUUGGGAACAGUGUGAGGCAAUUAUUGUCAUUAACAGAGAUACCUGAUGUGAACAACAUGUCAUACCCAGUGAUCCACGAUGAUGUAAACAGUGCUGGUGACAAUGCUGAGGUGUUGUCUGCUAUGUGCAUCGAUAACAAAUUACUUGUCAUUAAUAACCUCAUGUGUGGUGACAGACAUUUUCCUGGUGACAAAACAUUCAGAACACGUGACACUUGGAUCUCAGAGGUAGACACACGUGUGUAGCGUCUCCAUCUCUGAUUGACUGUUAAGCGAUUGUACCGUGUUAAGGCGAGGUGAUCUGCCUUCCGAUCAUGCCCCCAUUACAGUAACGGUAACUUGUACAGGUGUAGAUGUGGGGAGUCUCAGGACGAGGGCUGCGUCACUGGGAGAUCACGCAACCCUUCAUGGCAAUGCAGCAACAAUUGUUUAUUAAGGAAGUCUCUAAAAUUUCACAGAAUCAAAAAAGAAAGAUUUGUGCAAGACAUUAUGCAAAGGAUGUCUCAUGGCGAAGAUACUGAUGUUGACGCCUUUGACAAAUGUAUUAGUGAUGUACUGUAUUCGUGUGUGGAGGACAGUUUAGACAGUGGUGACAGAGCAACAAUGACAGGUAGUUGCAAUCCUGGUAGGAGGGAAAGACUGCUGAGUGAGUCAGAUGAUGCAGCAGUAUGGAGAGCUACUGACUGGAAAGGCGACUUUAACAUUGAUAGAACUGAUGACAAUUUGUGCCCCAGUGAUGAUGAUUUUAAAUGUCACUCUGAGUCUGUGCUGGACCGAGAGGAUGUGCACAAUGAUAAUGCAGAUGAUGUAACAACUCCACCAACAACAAAUGUCACUAUCCCAAUCACUAAACAAUUCUGUAUUUAAGUUCUCCUCUACGGCAGAAUCGAACUGGGAACCUUAGCGCACGGGUAAAGGACUGUGCCAAAGAGCUACCUGGCGUACAAAGAGAGAGAGAGAGAGAGAGAGAGAGAGAGAGAGAGAGAGAGAGAGAGAGAGAGAGAGAGAGCCUGGUGUGUUCCAUCGCCUCGGGUCACGUGUCAGUGUUCAGCCUGCCCAGUCUCCGCCAGCUCAUUGACAUUGAUUUCCUUCCUCUCGUCAACCUCAGGCAUUGUCCAUGAUGCUUCCUGUGUUGUGGUUCCAUCAUGGCAGGCAUGGAAGUGCCUCUCACUGCAUCACCGCCUCAUGAUCAUUGAGAGCAUGGACACAGACACUGAGGCCCUAGUGGGUACGUGGACCUCCUC